rnacentral:rRNA from 1 species
UGCAGUCGAGCGGUAGCACAGAGAGCUUGCUCUCGGGUGACGAGCGGCGGACGGGUGAGUAAUGUCUGGGAAACUGCCUGAUGGAGGGGGAUAACUACUGGAAACGGUAGCUAAUACCGCAUAACGUCGCAAGACCAAAGUGGGGGACCUUCGGGCCUCAUGCCAUCAGAUGUGCCCAGAUGGGAUUAGCUGGUAGGUGGGGUAACGGCUCACCUAGGCGACGAUCCCUAGCUGGUCUGAGAGGAUGACCAGCCACACUGGAACUGAGACACGGUCCAGACUCCUACGGGAGGCAGCAGUGGGGAAUAUUGCACAAUGGGCGCAAGCCUGAUGCAGCCAUGCCGCGUGUGUGAAGAAGGCCUUCGGGUUGUAAAGCACUUUCAGCGGGGAGGAAGGCGGUGAGGUUAAUAACCUCAUCGAUUGACGUUACCCGCAGAAGAAGCACCGGCUAACUCCGUGCCAGCAGCCGCGGUAAUACGGAGGGUGCAAGCGUUAAUCGGAAUUACUGGGCGUAAAGCGCACGCAGGCGGUCUGUCAAGUCGGAUGUGAAAUCCCCGGGCUCAACCUGGGAACUGCAUUCGAAACUGGCAGGCUAGAGUCUUGUAGAGGGGGGUAGAA